UCAUCUUGCCUUUUUAUUUUUGGCUCAUUCUGCCCUCUUUUUUUUAACUCAAAACUCGUGUCCUGCCUUUUUCAAAUUUAAUCCAAUUUCAACAAAACGUUUCAGGAAUUAAUAAAAUACAAAAUAUCUGCAUAAGGUGGUGUGUAAAUGCAAAGUCAUUAUGCAAUGUUUUUGAAACUCUUCAUGGGUUGUUCAACCGGUCAGUAGUGACUCAUAUUUUAC
rnacentral:lncRNA from 1 species